UUCUCCCCCUGAUCAAUCAUGGGCAUGAGCCCAAUGGCCCUAGCUCGAAGAAAGCUGCCGGGACUGAUCGGCUCUUGCAUGAGGACCAAAACGUCCAUUGGAUCAUUAUCUUCACAGAGUGUGCGAGGAAUGAAACCAUAGUUAUGAGGAUAUACAACUGAAGAAUACAAUAUCCGAUCAACCUUGAUUAAACCAGUCUUCUUGUCAAGUUCGUAUUUGACUUUACUACCUUUCGGUAUCUCAAUAACAGCAUUGAAAACAGAGGGAGCACCAGGACCUAUUUCAAG
rnacentral:misc_RNA from 1 species